rnacentral:lncRNA from 1 species
CCUUGCUGCUUUCUGUCCAUGAUUCUCUGACCCAAUCACCUGGCGUCCUGUGCCAUUAUCUCAUUAUGGGUACAAGGCUCAUUCUCCUAUUAGGAAAAUGGAAUGAAAUCUCAGAUCCCAACCGUGUCCUUAGGAAGCACACAAAUGAAAGGGAGGUGGAGAACCUACUUGCAAAGAGCCACAUCCACAGGCCAAUUUAAGCACAAAAAAAAAAAUCCAACGACACAGGACAAGGUAGUGUGCUAUGAAGUUGGCCUUUCGUUGCGUUAAGAGGCAAGAAAGAUGAGGUCGACACAACCAGCAAACAUACACAAAGGCACGUAAAAGUCAGAUCCCUGUCUUGUUUUACUAAAGUCCCAGGUGAACCAAAGAAUUAAAUAUUAAAACAUGAAACCAUAAAACUUAGGAAAAGAAGAAGAAAAUUUAAAAUUUGACUUUCUAGAAUAGAAUUUAAUUUUGUAAGGAAAAAACAGUAAAAGAAAAAUUAAAAUAUGAAGUGCCCGGGGGAAAAGAUGUCACUGCCAAUAUCAUGGUGGAAGUACUAAUUGUUUGUUUCAUGUCAUAAGUUCUACAAGAGAAUAAAGAAACCAAAGAUGCAUUACAGAUACUGGCAAUUUGAACACAAAGUUCCCAGUCACGAAAGUAAGUGUAGAAGGACCUUGAACACCCGGAAGCUGGCUUAUGCUUUCUGGUAAUAAGACAAAUGCAAAUCACCACUGCAGCGGACGCAAUAGUUCAUCUAUCAGACUGGCACACACCAAGCAGUUGGACUCCACAGGGUGUUUGCAAACUGUUGGGAAGAGGGUUCUUCCACGGCUGCAGGGGGUGCAGAUGGAAGCCACACCUGUGCAGGGCAAUUGGACUGCACCCAUCAAAACAUCCAGACAGAGCCCAAGUGCCUGGAUCCUUGACUGACUUCUAGGAAUCACUCUGCAUUGUGGCAGGAUUCCUUUGCCAGGGUGCCCAUGGCAUAUUGCUGGGGAUAUGAAGGUGCAGACGCAGUCAUUGAGCUCUUGUCUGGAAUGGCAAAAAGUUUGUGAUUCACUCUUUAAAGGACAUGACACGUAGUAGAUGCUCUAUGCACUCUUGUUAAAAUUGUUGGGCUUUUUUGGAUUGUAUUUCUGUAAUAUUUUCUUCUCCAGUGUGGGUUUUGUGUGUGUGUGUGUGUGGUGGGGGUGGUUAUGGUUGUUGAAAAGUGCACAGAAAUGUAUGUGUGAAGGUCCUUGGGACCUCCUGCCUGGCCUGUCACACACAGCCAGUGAGUGUUUGCUGUUUCACUCUGUGUCCUGCCUCAUUGCCUGGGAGUCACAUGUCGAGGACCUGAUGGAGCCUGUCCACUCAAGGAGUGAAGCGCUGACCUCCCAGGGUCCAGGGAGGCUUGUUUCCUAAUGGUGACUGGGAAUCCCAGAGGGUGCCUUGGAAUGGUCUGGAAAGCAGGGCAGCAGGAGCCUGACCGGGACAAGAGGUGACUGAGCUGAAGGCUGUGGACGCACCUCCUGCUUCUGCAAGUCCUUCCUGUCAGCCCGGCGUCCUUCUCAUGCCUCACUGUGUAAUCUGGAAGAUCACGGGUAAGUGCCCAGGGGAGAGGGUGGGUAUUUAAUAAAUAUCCCUAUGCUCAGCUUCAGGAAAGGAGUGAUUUUUUUCAAACCAUUGCAGGUGGGGGAAAUAAGGAAAGUCAAGAUGGCUGAAGGCUUUUUUUUUUUUUAUAGGAAAAAGUAUACUCUGGCAGGGAAGAGAAUUAAACUAUAAAAUCCAAAGUCUGUUUCUGAUGCUAUUAUAGUCAUCUAGAAUUUAUUUCUCCUAACUCCUAG